rnacentral:lncRNA from 1 species
CUAAAUUUCCAGACUUAGCCAAAUUUCAGCAUUUUUUGUUUUCGCUUCGUUUUCGCUCGUUUGGCCUCCGAUUCUUUUCAAAUCGAACCAAUACUCUCCAAACAUGUUUUCGAGCAUGUUUUCAUCAUCUUUUCAUCCAUGCUAAUGCCGGAUUUAGUCCAUGAUCCAACAUAGCCUUUCGGGUUCCGUUUUCGCGCCUACGCGCUCCGAAAAUGCCCGAAUGCUUCCAAACUUCACCGGAACCAUUCCAAUGGCUCUCCAAACCAAUAUAAACCGUAACUUCAUUAUUUUAGAAGUCCGGUACCUUACACACGGUCUCCUCCUCCA